UACGUAGGUGGCAAGCGUUAUCCGGAUUUACUGGGUGUAAAGGGCGUGUAGGCGGGAAGGCAAGUCAGAUGUGAAAACUAUGGGCUCAACCCAUAGCCUGCAUUUGAAACUGUUUUUCUUGAGUGUUGGAGAGGCAGGCGGAAUUCCGUGUGUAGCGGUGAAAUGCGUAGAUAUACGGAGGAACACCAGUGGCGAAGGCGGCCUGCUGGACAAUAACUGACGCUGAGGCGCGAAAGCGUG
rnacentral:rRNA from 1 species